rnacentral:rRNA from 1 species
UACAGAGGUCUCGAGCGUUAGGCGGAAUCACUGGGCUUAAAGCGUGUGUAGGUGGAUCGUUAAGUACCUUGUGAAAUCCCACGGCUUAACCGUGGAACUGCUUGGUAUACUGGCGGUCUUGAGCCAGCUAGGGGCUACCGGAACAAAUGGUGGAGCGGUGAAAUGCGUAGAUAUCGGAAGGAACACCAGUGGCGAAAGCGGCUUCCUGGUCCAGCACCGACGUUCAGGCACGAAAGCGUGGGGAGCAAACAGG